UCUUUUCCCACAGCCAUGAAUAAGAGAGAACAGUAGCUCAUUUCAUUUCUUAUUUCCCAUUUGUCUUUACAAUUUACAAGCAUUUUCUAAAGACUGAGAGAUUCACCUGUCACUAUUGGGAGGUAGUGAGCAGGGUUUGGAGACCUCUGAACCUUCUUAAAACCCAGAGCAGCCACCCCAGACACAGCUGGCAGCACUGGCACUGCUAAAGCCAAGACAAGGUCAGGCUCACAGCACUUCAUACUAGAGCUUGGAGCUGAAUAGGCCACUUUUAAUCAGGAUAAACACUCCUGGAAGCAUUACUGAAGCUGCUGGGAACUACAGAUGCAAGCACAGCAAGGUUUUCAGGGUGACACGACACCUUACAUUAGAUCCACUGACAAAACUGGAAUAAACAGGCACAGAGCUGAAACCCUUCUCACCCAAAGGGGCUUGGGUGUCCUAAAUCUUGUCUGAUUUUUCCCCUCUGUAUGAACUAGCCCAACAGAGGAUCAUAUUUCUCCCUAGAAACCUUCCCUCAGUCAGGAGAGACCAUCACAACCAAAGGAAAACUGCUGCUGGCACCAACACAGCUCAAGGCCUGCCCCAGGUCUGAAGAACCAGAGGAGCCAGCACAAUACAUGUAUUCUCUUUUAUUUUGCAUCUGUAGCUCUUUUUCAGCAAGAUGACUACAGAUAAGGCCUCUGUCCUUCUUCCUCUUGCAAUGUUUUCAGUUCCUGUGUCAGGGAGCAAAACCUCUCACCACCGGCACCAUCUUGCCUCAUUAGGGGAGUCUGUGGUAAAGCUUUGUCUCCUUCAGCUCCCUUGUUAAUUGUUACAGCACCAUGUGGUAGAGAUCAUAAUUCUUUACUGUCCAAACCCAUUCUGUAAUUAUCUGCAGGAAGACAAUGCUACUGAGAGCUGGCCUCAUCAGCAGAGUCAGGGCCUGCACCUUCUCCAGGAGGGAAAAAAGUCCAAGGAGGAGGACAAAGGCUGGUGGACUCGCAGAACUUAAUAUCACAUUGGGCCUGGGCAAGUGAAGAAGCAAAAUGAGGAUCUUCAGCCUUCUCCAGCACCAAAAUACUUUGUGUUUGGUGUGUGGAGAGACCCACCAGCAGUCAGCAGCUCUGUGCAGCUGAGGAAAAUCCUUUCAGGGCUGAAUUCUUUACAAGCAAAGCCUCUUAUACACUCCCCAGUGCUCAAAGGGCCACUGGCAAGCAGAGAUACAGCUAAAUAAGUCAAAUGCAUUGUUUUUACUACUGUAGUUCCUACCGUGGGCCCAACUCUCCUCCCAUUGACGUCAACACUAAAUCUUCCAAUGGAUUCAGUGAGAGCCAAAAAUCUCUGGUCACACCCUGUUAUGUUUUAUACCAGCAGCACUGUGGGCUCCAGCUUCAAAUUCAAGCUCUUACUCCAAUAUGGGAAAUGCAGGAGACUUUAAAAGAGGAUUUGAUGAUAAAUGUCUGCAUUUAUGUGGCAAGAUGCUUUGUUUGUCAUUGGAGUGUGAUAAAGGUUGAGUGCCAAAAGAAAACCUUCAGAAAUACCAAGCAAAAAAUUCCAAGUUUCUAACUUUUCCUAUAACAAUAUGAUAAUAGUGCACUAUGAUAAGCCAGUAGAAUACUUAAAUGACACCCUAAGUGUGCAGCUUGGAUACACUAAUUUUUCCAUCUCAUCAAUCCUUUCCAGCUGGUGACUGUCAGAGCUGCCUUAUCAAUUUCAGUUUCACCCACUGAAAUGGAAUUAAUUAACUCUUAAUUUCUCUCUUUAGUGUUCAUGCUGCUCCCUUUUCCUAGUUCUCUGACCCUUUUUCAUUAAUUUUUAUAUACUUGUCUGCUUUCCUUCUGUGCUUGCUGCCUCUCAAAGACUUCUCUGUUAUGAACUCAGCCACUUAGAGCCACCCAGCUCUUCACACCUACAAAGAUUUUUCUCUCUAUUGUCAACUUGCAUGCUUUUGCAAGGCCAGAAUCACAUACUGCUUUCAGGACUGUUCCUUCUCCCUCCACUUUCUUGAUUCAGCUUUGUUUCCCCUUCCUUAGCACUUUGAUAUGCUCCCCAUAAAUUAAUUUGCUUUCACACACACCUUCUCCAGCAGAAGAGUUCAGCCUGCCUUGUCUGACACUCUGCACUGGCCAGACUCUCCCUGUCUCCAUUAUUAAAUCAGGCUGCAAACUAGGGAAAAGGGAGAUUGCGUGAAUUUUGCACAGUAAUACUUUAGCACACAUCACUCUUCUAACUCUUCACCUUCAAGGGAUGACUCCAACAAGCAAACCAAGCCUACAAAAGCAUUGCUCAUAUCAAGAGAUUUCAGAUGCUGAGCAAUGAGGAGUAAGAUGAUGCCACAUUUUUUGUGGGGCUGCAAACUGCAGAGGACAGUCAGGAAGGUGGCAGCACAUCCCACACACCAUUUUCCUGACAGACUACUCUGUGACACUGAGGAAAAAUUAUGUCCCUUAAUGAAAAGCUGCAGAAUCCACCCUCACACAUGUUAAAUAUUCCUGCAAAUGCUGGCACAAGGUGUAAGGGCAUCAUUAGUGGAAGUCAGCAGAAGGCAGACUCCUCCAGCAGGCAGGCUGGACUCGAUGCCUUUCAAAAAUCUUUUCCUGCCUGAUCCAUUCUGUGAUCCUGGCAUUUGCAAAAUCCUGAGGAUGCAAGAAAUACACACUUAAAAUUCUGUGCAAUGUCCCUUGCCUUCAAUGAGCCAGCAAGUGAAACCUCCUUACACAGACCAGAAUAAUCUCUGGCUUUUGAGCAGCAACACCCUGCAGAUCAAGAAAAAUUCCAAUAUCACACAGACCAACCUGCUGCCUGGAAGGAAACACUCCCAGGAAAACCACCUUUGAAACAUGAAUUUUGUAAUUUCUGCAUGAUCAUUAUUGUGCUUUUAACAGGUCCUCUGAGAAACUCAACAGAAUAAAGGUUAUUUGGCAUUAUAGAAGUGUAUGAUGAGAUAAUAAAAUCUAGUUAUUGUGAUCCCAUUCUUUGGACCACCUCAUCUUAGCCUCUAAAUUACAUGUGAGUGCAACUCUUACAUGUAAUAAGAUCUGCACUUGU